GACGAACGCUGGCGGCGUGCCUAAUACAUGCAAGUUGAGCGCUGAAGGUUGGUACUUGUACCAACUGGAUGAGCAGCGAACGGGUGAGUAACGCGUGGGGAAUCUGCCUUUGAGCGGGGGACAACAUUUGGAAACGAAUGCUAAUACCGCAUAAAAACUUUAAACACAAGUUUUAAGUUUGAAAGAUGCAAUUGCAUCACUCAAAGAUGAUCCCGCGUUGUAUUAGCUAGUUGGUGAGGUAAAGGCUCACCAAGGCGAUGAUACAUAGCCGACCUGAGAGGGUGAUCGGCCACAUUGGGACUGAGACACGGCCCAAACUCCUACGGGAGGCAGCAGUAGGGAAUCUUCGGCAAUGGACGAAAGUCUGACCGAGCAACGCCGCGUGAGUGGAGAAGGUUUUCGGAUCGUAAAACUCUGUUGGUAGAGAAGAACGUUGGUGAGAGUGGAAAGCUCAUCAAGUGACGGUAACUACCCAGAAAGGGACGGCUAACUACGU
rnacentral:rRNA from 1 species